AAAGUCGUAACAAGGUUUCCGUAGGUGAACCUGCGGAAGGAUCAUUAACACGUAUCCAACGUUAAACAACCCUGUGAACCUUCAUUCCUGCUCUCCUUGUCCCUUGAUAAAGCAAUCCCUGGUAAAUCACGCGAGCAGUUUGAUUCAGGGACCUCUUUUGAUACGCACUUGGAUUCGAUGCGGCGUCGUAAUUUAGACUUGGUUUCUGGAAGGCUAUCAACGAGUAAAAUCGUUGACUGACGAUAAAGGAUGCUGCCUAACAAGCAGAUCACUGAUCCUCACGGUCAGCGGACAAGUCUCUGGGCUUCGGCCCCCCAUAUUAACCCAGUUCUCAAUUCGGAGGAUGCGGAAACGCUCCUCAUAAAAACGAACAACUGUUAACAAUGGAUAUCUUGGUUCUC
rnacentral:misc_RNA from 1 species